rnacentral:rRNA from 1 species
UACGGAGGGGGCAAGCGUUAUUCGGAAUUAUUGGGCGUAAAGGGCGCGUAGGCGGCUAGAUGUGUCAAAGGUGAAAUCCCUCGGCUCAACUGAGGAACUGCCUUUGAAACUGUCUGGCUUGAGGCCGGGAGAGGGUAGCGGAAUUCCCAGUGCAGCGGUGAAAUGCGUAGAUAUUGGGAGGAACACCAGUGGCGAAGGCGGCUACCUGGACCGGUUCUGACGCUGAGGCGCGAAGGCCAGGGGAGCAAACGGG